UGGCAGGGUGCACAGUACGUUGAUGGUCU
rnacentral:piRNA from 1 species